AUUGAACGCUGGCGGCAGGCCUAACACAUGCAAGUCGAACGAGUGGCGGACGGGUGAGUAAUGUCUGGGAAACUGCCUGAUGGAGGGGGAUAACUACUGGAAACGGUAGCUAAUACCGCAUACAAUCAGAUGUGCCCAGAUGGGAUUAGCUUGUUGGUGGGGGAACGGCGCACACAGGCGACGAUCCCUAGCUGGUCUGAGAGGAUGACCAGCCACACUGGAACUGAGACACAGUCCAGACUACUCAGGGAGGUAGCAGUGGGGAAGAGUGCACAAUGCGCGCAAGCCGGAUGCAGCCAUGCCGCGUGUAUGAAGAAGGCCUUAGGGUUGUAAAGUACUUUCAGCGGGGAGGCGUUACCCGCAGAAGAAGCACCGGCUAACUCCGUGCCAGCAGCCGCGGUAAUAC
rnacentral:rRNA from 1 species